rnacentral:rRNA from 1 species
GACGAACGCUGGCGGCGUGCCUAAUACAUGCAAGUAGAACGCUGAAGGAGGAGCUUGCUUCUCUGGAUGAGUUGCGAACGGGUGAGUAACGCGUAGGUAACCUGCCUGGUAGCGGGGGAUAACUAUUGGAAACGAUAGCUAAUACCGCAUAAGAGUAGAUGUUGCAUGACAUUUGCUUAAAAGGUGCAAUUGCAUCACUACCAGAUGGACCUGCGUUGUAUUAGCUAGUUUGUGGGGUAACGGCUCACCAAGGCGACGAUACAUAGCCGACCUGAGAGGGUGAUCGGCCGCACUGGGACUGAGACACGGCCCAGACUCCUACGAGAGGCAGCAGUAGGGAAUCUUCAGACAUGGACGGAAGUCUGACCGAGCAACGCCGCGUGAGUGAAGAAGGUUUUCGGAUCGUAAAGGUCUGUUGUAAGAGAAGAACGAGUGUGAGAGUGGAAAGUUCACACUGUGACGGUAUCUGACCAGAAAGGGACGGCUAACUACGUG